rnacentral:rRNA from 1 species
CCUACGGGAGGCAGCAGUGGGGGAUAUUGCACAAUGGGGGGAACCCUGAUGCAGCGACGCCGCGUGGGUGAAGAAGGGCCUCGGCGCGGAAAGCACUGUCAGCAGGGAAGAAAAGGACGGUACCUGAAGAAGAAGCCCCGGCUAACUCCGUGCCAGCAGCCGCGGUAAUACGGAGGGGGCAAGCGUUAUCCGGAUUUACUGGGUGGACAGGGGGCGCAGACGGCGCUGCAAGCCAGGAGGGAAAGCCCGGGGCCCAACCCCGGGACUGCUCUUGGAACUGCGUGGCUGGAGUGCAGGAGGGGCAGGCGGAAUUCCUGGUGUAGCGGUGAACUGCGUCGAUAUCAGGAGGAACACCGGUGGCGAAGGCGGCCUGCUGGACUGCAACUGACGUUGCGGCCCGAAAGCGUGGGGAGCAAACAGGAUUAGAUACCCCUGUAGUC